rnacentral:rRNA from 1 species
ACGAAGGUGGCAAGCGUUGUUCGGAUUCACUGGGCGUACAGGGAGCGUAGGCGGUUGGGUAAGCCCUCCGUGAAAUCUCCGGGCCUAACCCGGAAAGUGCAGGGGGGACUGCUCGGCUAGAGGAUGGGAGAGGAGCGCGGAAUUCCCGGUGUAGCGGUGAAAUGCGUAGAGAUCGGGAGGAACAUCAGUGGCGAAGGCGGCCCUCUGGUCCAGUACUGACACUCAAGUGCGAAAGCGUGGGGAGCAAACAGGA